UACGUAGGGGGCUAGCGUUGUCCGGAUUUAUUGGGCGUAAAGAGCGUGUAGGCGGCCAGGUAGGUCUGCUGUGAAAACUCGAGGCUCAACCUCGAGACGUCGGCGGAAACCAUCUGGCUAGAGUCCGGAAGAGGAGAGUGGAAUUCCUGGUGUAGCGGUGAAAUGCGCAGAUAUCAGGAAGAACACCCGUGGCGAAGGCGACUACCUGGCCUGUUCUUGACGCUGAGGCGCGAAAGCUAGGGGAGCAAACGGG
rnacentral:rRNA from 1 species